ACAAAGGUUUUAUUAAAAACUAUAAAAAUCCCAUUUAAAAACUUU
rfam:Camelus ferus unplaced genomic scaffold scaffold1234, whole genome shotgun sequence.